rnacentral:rRNA from 1 species
AUUGAACGCUGGCGGCAGGCCUAACACAUGCAAGUCGAGCGGAGCGGCGGACGGGCGAGUAAUGCCUAGGAAUGGGCCUGGUAGUGGGGGAUAACGUACGGAAACGGGCGCUAAUACCGCAUACUAUCAGAUGAGUGCAGAUGGGAUUAGCUAGUAGGUGGGGUAAAGGCUCACCUAGGCGACGAUCCCUAGCUGGUCUGAGAGGAUGACCAGCCACACUGGAACUGAGACACGGUCCAGACUCCUACGGGAGGCAGCAGUGGGGAAUAUUGCACAAUGGGCGCAAGCCUGAUGCAGCCAUGCCGCGUGUAUGAAGAAGGCCUUCGGGUUGUAAAGUACUUUCAGCGGGGAGGCGUUACCGGCAGAAGAAGCACCGGCUAACUCCGUGCCAGCAGCCGCGGUAAUUC